rnacentral:rRNA from 1 species
CAGUAAGUCAGACAGACUGAGGGGUCUGUAGCUCAGUCGGUUAGAGCACCGUCUUGAUAAGGCGGGGGUCGAUGGUUCGAAUCCAUCCAGACCCACCAUUGUCUUGUCUGCGAUGGCUGCGCGAGCCGAUGAACCCCGAAGNNNNNNNNNNNNNNNNNNNNNNNNNNNNNNNNNNNNNNNNNNNNNNNNNNNNNNNNNNNNNNNNNNNNNNNNNNNNNNNNNNNNNNNNNNNNNNNNGGGGAAGAACUAGGUGUACGGAAAGUAGGGCGGGACACGUGAAAUCCUGUCUGAAGAUGGGGGGACCAUCCUCCAAGGCUAAAUACUCGUGAUCGACCGAUAGUGAACCAGUACCGUGAGGGAAAGGCGAAAAGAACCCCGGGAGGGGAGUGAAACAGAUCCUGAAACCGCAUGCAUACAAACAGUCGGAGCCUCUGCGAAGGGGUGACGGCGUACCUUUUGUAUAAUGGGUCAGCGACUUACAUUCAGUGGCAAGCUUAACCGAUUAGGGCAGGCGUAGCGAAAGCGAGUCCGAACAGGGCGAUUCAGUCGCUGGGUGUAGACCCGAAACCAGGUGAUCUAUCCAUGGCCAGGAUGAAGGUGCGGUAACACGUACUGGAGGUCCGAACCCACUAACGUUGAAAAGUUAGGGGAUGAGCUGUGGAUAGGGGUGAAAGGCUAAACAAACCUGGAAAUAGCUGGUUCUCUCCGAAAACUAUUUAGGUAGUGCCUCGUGUAUCACCUUCGGGGGUAGAGCACUGUCAUGGUUGUGGGGUCCAUUGCGGAUUACUACGCCAUAGCAAACUCCGAAUACCGAAGAGUGCAAUCACGGGAGACAGACAUCGGGUGCUAACGUCCGGUGUCAAGAGGGAAACAACCCAGACCGCCAGCUAAGGUCCCCAAAUAUUGCUAAGUGGGAAACGAAGUGGGAAGGCUAAAACAGUCAGGAGGUUGGCUUAGAAGCAGCCAUCCUUUAAAGAAAGCGUAAUAGCUCACUGAUCGAGUCGUCCUGCGCGGAAGAUGUAACGGGGCUAAGCAAUAUACCGAAGCUGCGGAUGCACAUUUAUGUGCAUGGUAGGAGAGCGUUCCGUAAGCCUGCGAAGGUGCAUUGAAAAGUGUGCUGGAGGUAUCGGAAGUGCGAAUGCUGACAUGAGUAGCGAUAAAGGGGGUGAAAGGCCCCCUCGCCGUAAGCCCAAGGUUUCCUACGCAACGUUCAUCGGCGUAGGGUGAGUCGGCCCCUAAGGCGAGGCAGAAAUGCGUAGCUGAUGGGAAGCAGGUUAAUAUUCCUGCACCAUUGUUAAAUGCGAUGGGGGGACGGAUCGCGGAAGGUUGUCCGGGUGUUGGAAGUCCCGGUCCUUGCAUUGGAGAAGGCGCUCAGGCAAAUCCGGGCGCGGAAUUCAAGGGUGCGAGGCCAGUCGCUUAGGCGACGAAGCAAUCGGAAGUGGUUCCAAGAAAAGCCUCUAAGCUUCAGUUUAACAGGACCGUACCGCAAACCGACACAGGUGGGCGAGAUGAGUAUUCUAAGGCGCUUGAGAGAACUCGGGAGAAGGAACUCGGCAAAUUGGUACCGUAACUUCGGGAUAAGGUACGCCCCUGUAGCUUGAUGCCCCUGCGGGCAGAGGGUGAAGGGGUUGCAAUAAACUGGUGGCUGCGACUGUUUAAUAAAAACACAGCACUCUGCAAACACGAAAGUGGACGUAUAGGGUGUGACGCCUGCCCGGUGCCGGAAGAUUAAAUGAUGGGGUGCAAGCUCUUGAUUGAAGUCCCGGUAAACGGCGGCCGUAACUAUAACGGUCCUAAGGUAGCGAAAUUCCUUGUCGGGUAAGUUCCGACCUGCACGAAUGGCGUAACGAUGGCCACACUGUCUCCUCCCGAGACUCAGCGAAGUUGAAGUGUUUGUGAUGAUGCAAUCUCCCCGCGGCUAGACGGAAAGACCCCAUGAACCUUUACUGUAGCUUUGCAUUGGACUUUGAACCGAUCUGUGUAGGAUAGGUGGGAGGCUAUGAAGCGUGGACGCCAGUCUGCGUGGAGCCGUCCUUGAAAUACCACCCUGGUUUGUUUGAGGUUCUAACCUUGG